rnacentral:rRNA from 1 species
ACUAACAAGGAAAAAAUAAAUGUGUUAUCACGAAGGAAUGUGAGCUAAACGCACAUAUGGUCUAUUGGCAUGCGUCGCAUAGCACGUAAUAAAUGUACGUUUAGGGGUGAUAGGCUUUUCAAACGUUCCUAUAACUUGUUUCAUAUGAAAAGUAUUAAGUACCUAAACAAAUUUAAAAAGUUAAGCUUUUAAAUAACUAUUAAAGAUAUUAUCCCCUUGUAGUGUAGUUUAAUAGCUAUCUACAUAUUAACUUAAUAUAAAGUAUAAUAGUUUAUAUUUUAUAAUAUGACGUUAACAAUUUUGUUUAAUAUUUGAAAAUGUUAGUAUUAGUAAUAUUAGUAUAUGUGCUAAAGGAACUCGGCAAAAAACCACUCAACUGUUUAUCAAAAACAUAGCUAUAUGAAUUAAUAUAUAGUUAUUUCUGCUCAAUGAUUUAAAUAGCCGCAGUACUCUGACUGUGCAAAGGUAGCAUAAUCAGUUGGCUUUUAAUUAGAGUCUGGUAUGAACGAAAAUAUGGGUAGUAACUGUCUUAGCACAUUUUUUCGAACUUAUUAAACAAGUGCAAAUGCUUGUAAUUUAACAAUAGACGAGAAGACCCUAGAAACUUGGACAGUUUUUGUUGGGGCGACAGAAUUACACUUAACUAAUCUUAUAAUACACGACGCGAUGUUGAAAGAAUAAGUUACUCUAGGGAUAACAGCAUAAUUUCAUUAGUUUGUGACCUCGAUGUUGGACUAGGUACUAUACCCUUAAGGCAAGGAUAUAUUAUGCUCUGUUCGAGCAAAAUUACCUACAUGAUCUGAGUUCAGACCGG